GGUAAGCCUGUCUGCUUCUCCGUGUCCGCAGCUGUGAACUACAUUCAACAGAACCAGAUCUACAUAACGAGAUUACCUCGGAGCGCACUCUGCAAUCACACCUUCACUCAAAAGUGGGGCCCUAUCCACGGGUUCGACAACAUUACUAAAACGCAUUACUUAACUGACCGCUUCACCCGUCUCUACUUUGAGGAAAGGAACCUGUUUAGACAAAAGGUGAAAGAUCUGCUCGACAAGUACCCCAAUGACAAGUGCAUUAUCUUUG